GACGAACGCUGGCGGCGUGCCUAAUACAUGCAAGUCGAACGCAGUGGGGACGGGUGAGUAACACGGGGGUAACCUCCCAUCAGAGGGGAUAACACUUGGAAACAGGUGCUAAACCGACACUGAGGGGUGGACCCGCGGUGCAUUAGAUAGGUGGUGAGGUAACGGCUCACCAAGGCAACGAUGCGUCGCCGAGCUGUGCGGGGGAUCGGCCACACUGGGACGGAGCAGCGGCCCGGUCUCCUACGGGAGGCGGAGGUAGGGAAUCGUAGACAAUGGACUAAAGUCUAACCUGAAAACGCCGCGUGGGUGAAGAAGGUUUUCGUAUCGUAAACCUCAGUUGUUAGUGAAGCGGUAUCUAACGAGAAAGCCACGGCUAACUACGUGCCAGCCGCCGCGGUAAUAC
rnacentral:rRNA from 1 species